AUUUAAGUAGCUUAUAUUAUAGAGCAUAAUAUUGAAGAUAUUAAAGAGAUUAAUUAAAUCCUUAAAUA
rnacentral:tRNA from 1 species